AUGCUAGGGAUGGGUUUUGGUGAUGAUGUUGCUGCUGUUGAUGCAGCAUCAAGCUCUCACUUUGUGCCUCUGUCAGUUAUGAUGCGUAACCACAAAGUGAGUGACAGGCCAGUCCCCGGGGAGAGCAGGGGGCCUGAGGGAGCUUUUCUGCCGGUGAAUAUUUUGAUGAAGGUUCCUAUUGAUGCGCUGAAUGAAGGACCAAAACAACAGGGCAUUGGCUCUUUUCAGAAGCGACGAGGAAGACUGACCAUCGUGAAGACAGUGCUGGGAGCAGCCAUAUCCGCUCUAAUGCUAUAGUCACUGGCCGUUAGACAUGGCGUUCAAAGACUAGCGGUGCAAGUAUGGAAAUGCAGAUAAGGCAUUGUUGAGGAAACAUGCCUGGGAAUUGUUCAAGGCUUUCCCUUGCAUAAUGUUUGGAUGCUUUCAAAAAUGUUUUAAUCUCAAAACCCAUGAAUUUGAUCCUCCAUGAAUGUGAUCCAGAACCGCCCAUAGAAUGAGUGGGUGUUUGCAUGAAAAGGGUUGUCAUGCUAUGCAAAUUAAUAAUGUUUGUGAUUACAUUUGUGAAUAUUUGACAUCUGGCAACAUUUGUUUAAAACUAUUUUUGUACAUAUUUCUCUUUUCUAGACAAUUAUAGCUAUAAUGCAUUUAUUCUUUCGAGAGUAUAAUGCCUGCAGAAGCUCAGCAUUGAUUGAAGGUCACACUUACUGCUUCAGCCAGGCCUCACUUUUCUUUUUUCUGUGCUUUAAUGGCAAUAUAUGAACUCUUUGCUUCACAUUAAGAUGCCAGAGACUUGUUUGUGUAUAAUCUUCAAGGUUUAUUUACUGUACUCUUCUUUUGCAGUUUUCAGGAGGCAGUUAAUUACACAAUUAAUACAUGAUACAAAUUAUGUACAUUUAUACCAAAGAAUACUUCCAACAUAAAAUAAAAAAUAGCGUUGUAUUCUACAACUCUGUGUUGUAAUUUUAUUUAAACAUGUUCAUAUAUAGAUAGAUAUACGCUGAUGAGUAAAUUCAUAAUGUCGUACCAGCAGUUUUCAUUAAAGGCAUUCAACUUGAAUAGUAUGCAUUUGAAGUAAUACUGCUUCUCUGAUUCAGCACAGUUCUGUUUCAUAAAAAGUUCACACUUGAACUUUAAGGCAAAGUGUGUUUCUGUUUGGUGGAUUUUAAUUCACACACACUUUUUGCAGAUACACAACAAAAACACUUUGAAAGGCAAAAAGUCCACAAUUUGGUAUGGAUACAGUCUAAAACUUAGCUCGAUCAUACUUCUGUCGAUAAAGACCAAAGUUUAUAAACACAGUUAUUUGCCCAAGUACAACAAAUUGCAGCUUUCAUGCAAAGGCCCCAUAAACUAUUUUCAUUCACAAAAAAGGAAACAAAAAGAAGUUAUUGCAAGAUAAACAAGCAGUGUAAACACCUCAGAUAUCUACUCUAAAGCAACACUGGCCAUUGGAUAGAUUUUUUUCUCAAUAUAAUCUAUAUAAAUACACAUAUGAAGUCCUUUCAACAACGAUAAGAGAUUUCCAACAUUUGUAAUACGGUCACUGAUGGAUUUGCCUUCUUUAAUGAUAAAUGGAUAUGUAAUAAAACUGUAUAUAGAGAAAGAUUUAACAAGAACAUCCUAUAACCUGCUAUUAUAGUCUAUACUCAAGAGUGCGCAGAAUGGUUGUCAUUGUCUUUAUGCUACAGAGUUGUUCUGUGACUUUAUAGGCAGCAUUAUAGCCUUCAAUUCAGUAAGCUACAAAAAGAUGAUUUAUAUUGCUAGUUAAAAACUAUAAUAGCUGCACUGAUGCAUUGGUAUAACGAAGGGAAUACGCACAUAAUAUCUGUUGAAAGACUAUGAGACGACCACAUACAUAUAAGCAAGGCCUAACUUAGCAUUUUAGUUCAGUGGCGUGUUAGAAAAAGUCGCUACCUCUCUGUCACUUAUAACAACAAACGGUUCCUGUGAUUGUUUUUUUCUUUUAAAAAACGUAUCAAAAUUCAUUGUCUGCCCAAUUAGGUCUGCAACUGACACUCAAAAAGCACCUUCCUCUGUCCGUUUUACAUUAAAACACAACCAAGGAAACCAACAAGCAUCGAAAUAAAACUCGUGUUAGCAUUUAUUUAAAUUCACAGUAGCCUGGAUGCAGCAGAAAAAUAUUCUUUGGACUUCAGUUUGUUCACUUCGCUGACAGAUCGAAACGUCAAGUGCCAGUUAGUUCAAUGUAAAAUGAUGACAAUCAUGGAUAGCAGUAGACCUAUAUAGAAAAUUAUGGGUGUAAUCAUUUGUACCUCCUGGAGGGUUGGGGGGGGGCGACAAACAAUGAAAACAUACCUUUAUACAACAUCUUCUGUAGACGUGAUAUUGCAGAAAUAUCUUUUCUUUUUU
rnacentral:lncRNA from 1 species